rnacentral:rRNA from 1 species
AACGAACGCUGGCGGCAGGCCUAACACAUGCAAGUCGAGCGAGGACUUCGGUCCUAGCGGCGGACGGGUGAGUAACGCGUGGGAACGUGCCCUUUGCUUCGGAAUAGCCCCUGGAAACGGGGAGUAAUACCGGAUGAGCCCUACGGGGGAAAGAUUUAUCGGCGAAGGAUCGGCCCGCGUUGGAUUAGGUAGUUGGUGGGGUAAUGGCCUACCAAGCCGACGAUCCAUAGCUGGUUUGAGAGGAUGAUCAGCCACACUGGGACUGAGACACGGCCCAGACUCCUACGGGAGGCAGCAGUGGGGAAUCUUAGACAAUGGGGGAAACCCUGAUCUAGCCAUGCCGCGUGAGCGAUGAAGGCCUUAGGGUUGUAAAGCUCUUUCAGCUGGGAAGAUAAUGACUGUACCAGCAGAAGAAGCCCCGGCUAACUCCGUGCCAGCAGCCGCAGUAACAC